rnacentral:misc_RNA from 1 species
GAUGAAGAACGUAGCGAAAUGCGAUAAGUAAUGUGAAUUGCAGAAUCCAGUGAAUCAUCGAAUCUUUGAACGCACAUUGCGCCCCUUGGUAUCCCGAGGGGCAUGCCUGUUCGAGCGUCAUUUCACCACUCAAGCCUGGCUUGGUGUUGGGCGACGUCCCCUUUGGGGACGCGCCUCGAAACGCUCGGCGGCGUGGCACCGGCUUUAAGCGUAGCAGAAUCUUUCGCUUUGGAAGUCGGGGCCCCGUCUGCCGGAAGACCUACUCGCAAGGUUGACCUCGGAUCAGGCAGGGAUACCCGCUGAACUUAAGCAUAUCAAUAAGCGGAGGA